GAGGCCGAAAGGCGUAGUCGAUGGGAAACGGGUUAAUAUUCCCGUACUUGGUGUUACUGCGAAGGGGGGACGGAGAAGGCUAUGUUGGCCGGGCGACGGUUGUCCCGGUUUAAGCGUGUAGGUGUGUGUUCCAGGUAAAUCCGGUUCACUUUAACACUGAGGCGUGAUGACGAGGCACCACGGUGCUGAAGCAACAAAUGCCCUGCUUCCAGGAAAAGCCUCUAAGCAUCAGGUAACAUCAAAUCGUACCCCAAACCGACACAGGUGGUCAGGUAGAGAAUACCAAGGCGCUUGAGAGAACUCGGGUGAAGGAACUAGGCAAAAUGGUGCCGUAACUUCGGGAGAAGGCACGCUGACACGUAGGUGAAGUGAUUUACUCAUGGAGCUGAAGUCAGUCGAAGAUACCAGCUGGCUGCAACUGUUUAUUAAAAACACAGCACUGUGCAAACACGAAAGUGGACGUAUACGGUGUGACGCCUGCCCGGUGCCGGAAGGUUAAUUGAUGGGGUCAGCGCAAGCGAAGCUCCUGAUCGAAGCCCCGGUAAACGGCGGCCGUAACUAUAACGGUCCUAAGGUAGCGAAAUUCCUUGUCGGGUAAGUUCCGACCUGCACGAAUGGCGUAAUGAUGGCCAGGCUGUCUCCACCCGAGACUCAGUGAAAUUGAACUCGCUGUGAAGAUGCAGUGUACCCGCGGCAAGACGGAAAGACCCCGUGAACCUUUACUAUAGCUUGACACUGAACAUUGAGCCUUGAUGUGUAGGAUAGGUGGGAGGCUUUGAAGCGUGGACGCCAGUCUGCGUGGAGCCGACCUUGAAAUACCACCCUUUAAUGUUUGAUGUUCUAACGUGGACCCGUAAUCCGGGUUGCGGACAGUGUCUGGUGGGUAGUUUGACUGGGGCGGUCUCCUCCUAAAGAGUAACGGAGGAGCACGAAGGUUGGCUAAUCCUGGUCGGACAUCAGGAGGUUAGUGCAAUGGCAUAAGCCAGCUUGACUGCGAGCGUGACGGCGCGAGCAGGUGCGAAAGCAGGUCAUAGUGAUCCGGUGGUUCUGAAUGGAAGGGCCAUCGCUCAACGGAUAAAAGGUACUCCGGGGAUAACAGGCUGAUACCGCCCAAGAGUUCAUAUCGACGGCGGUGUUUGGCACCUCGAUGUCGGCUCAUCACAUCCUGGGGCUGAAGUAGGUCCCAAGGGUAUGGCUGUUCGCCAUUUAAAGUGGUACGCGAGCUGGGUUUAGAACGUCGUG
rnacentral:rRNA from 1 species